rnacentral:rRNA from 1 species
AUUGAACGCUGGCGGCAGGCCUAACACCUGCAAGUCGAGCGAGCGGCGGACGGGUGAGUAAUGUCUGGGAAAAUGCCCGAUGGAGGGGGAUAACUACUGGAAACGGUAGCUAAUACCGCAUACCAUCAGAUGUGCCCAGAUGGGAUUAGCUAGUAGGUGGGGUAACGGCUAACCGAGGCGACGACCCCCAGGUGGGCUGAGAGGAUGACCAGCCACACUGGAACUGAGACACGGUCCAGACUCCUACGGGAGGCAGCAGUGGGGAAUAUUGCACAAUGGGCGCAAGCCUGAUGCAGCCAUGCCGCGUGUAUGAAGAAGGCCUUCGGGUUGUAAAGUACUUUCAGCGGGGCGGCGUUACCCGCAGAAGAAGCACCGGCUAACUCCGUGCCAGCAGCCGCGGUAAUUC